GUGUCAGCCGCCGCGGUAAUACAGGGGUCUCAAGCGUUAAUCGGAAUCACUGGGCUUAAAGGGUGCGUAGGCGGGCCCGUAAGCACUCCGUGAAAGCCCCCGGCUCAACCGGGGAACAGCGGGGUGUACUGCGGGCCUCGAGGCAGACAGGGGCGGUCGGAACUGUAGGUGGAGCGGUGAAAUGCGUAGAUAUCUACAGGAACGCCGAUGGUGAAGACGGGCCGCUGGGUCUGACCUGACGCUGAGGCACGAAAGCGUGGGGAUCAAACAGGAUUAGAAACCCCCGUAGUCC
rnacentral:rRNA from 1 species